GGGUCCGUAGCUCAGUUGGUUAGAGUGCUACGCUCACAUCGUAGAGGCCACAGGUUCAAGUCCUGUCGGACCCA
rnacentral:tRNA from 1 species